rnacentral:lncRNA from 1 species
UAUGAGCACACAUUUAGAAAACAGUUUAUUGUACAUCUUUGCAUUUCUUAAGGCAUGAACAAUGUCGUAAAGAUGGAGUGGGUUUCGGGAAGCAUCGCGUUGUCGAUUUUCACGAGGCUGAGAACAAGCACACCACAUCAAAAGAACACACUUCAAGUCUGAACUAACCGACUACGGCCCCGGAGCUCCUAAGGGACAUAGACCCUUAGAACCUUCCAGAAACCCACUUGAACUGCAAGAGAAAGUAAGAAGCCCGAGAAGGGAGAACGACAUACUUUGGAAGCGUGACGUUCAGGGUUCCGACAGGCAGGAUUUCCAUGGACUUUCCCCAGAACUUAUUUUGGUCUCCCCCAGGACCGGAUUGAAUGGCUUGCUUCCUGCUCGGAAGUAGGUGGAACAGUACCCUGAGACUGCAAAGGCAGCGACGAGAACCUGCGAGGUCACAGGAAAGGAGUAUUACAUAGGAGGGGCCAGCCCAGGUCUGCCUGCCUCUCCUCCCACCGACUGUACAUCCAUCCAUGUAGAGGGCUGCAGAUCUGAUGCUGUUCGUGUUUUCAGUUAUUUGAAUCUUCAUCACAACACUGGAAGG